GACGAACCGUACAAACGUUAUUCGGAAUUACUGGGCUUAAAGGGUGCGUAGGCGGUCGGGUAAGUCUGAUGUGAAAUCUCACAGCUUAACUGUGAAACUGCAUUGGAUACUAUUCGGCUUGAGAGUUGGAGGGGGGACUGGAAUUCUUGGUGUAGCAGUGAAAUGCGUAGAUAUCAAGAGGAACACCAGUGGCGAAGGCGAGUCCCUGGACAACUUCUGACGCUGAGGCACGAAAGCUAGGGGAGCAAACAGG
rnacentral:rRNA from 1 species